AGUGAACGCUGGCGGCGUGGCUUAACACAUGCAAGUCGAACGGUCCUUCGGGAUAGUGGCGGACGGGUGAGUAACACGUGGGAACGUACCCUUAGGUUCGGAACAACACAGGGAAACUUGUGCUAAUACCGGAUAAGCCCUUCGGGGGAAAGAUUUAUCGCCUUUGGAGCGGCCCGCGUCUGAUUAGCUUGUUGGUGAGGUAAUGGCUCACCAAGGCUAUGAUCAGUAGCUGGUCUGAGAGGAUGGCCAGCCACACUGGGACUGAGACACGGCCCAGACUCCUACGGGAGGCAGCAGUGGGGAAUCUUGCGCAAUGGGCGAAAGCCUGACGCAGCCAUGCCGCGUGGAUGAUGAAGGUCUUAGGAUUGUAAAAUCCUUUCACCGGGGACGAUAAUGACGGUACCCGGAGAAGAAGCCCCGGCUAACUUCGUGCCAGCCGCCGCCGUAA
rnacentral:rRNA from 1 species